UGGGGAAUUUUGCACAAUGGGGGAAACCCUGAUGCAGCGACGCCGCGUGAUUUAGAAGGCCUUCGGGUUGUAAAAAUCUUUUGUAUGGGAAGAAAAUGACAGUACCAUACGAAUAAGGACCGGCUAAUUACGUGCCAGCAGCCGCGGUAAUACGUAAGGUCCGAGCGUUGUCCGGAAUCAUUGGGCGUAAAGGGUACGUAGGCGGAUAAGCAAGUUAGAAGUGAAAUACUAUAGCUCAACUAUAGUAAGCUUUUAAAACUGCUCAUCUUGAGGGAUGGAAGGGAAAGUAAAAUUCCUAGUAUAGCGGUGAAAUGCGCAGAUAUUAGGAGGGAUACCGGUGGCGAAGGCGACUUUCUGGCCAUAUACUGACGCUGUGGUACGAAAGCGUAGGUAGCAAACAGG
rnacentral:rRNA from 1 species